rnacentral:rRNA from 1 species
AUUAAAUGGCCGCAGUAUAUUAACUGUGCAAAGGUAGCAUAAUCAUUAGUCUUUUAAUUGAAGGCUCGUAUGAAUGGUUGGACGAAAUAUUAACUGUUUCAUAUAAAUUUUUAAUAAAAUUUUAUUUUUUAGUUAAAAAGCUAAAAUUUAUUUAAAAGACGAGAAGACCCUAUAAAUCUUUAUAUUUAAAUUAUUAUAAUUUUAUAGUUUAUUUUUAUUAUAAUAAUUAAUAAUAUUUUAUUGGGGUGAUAUUAAAAUUUAAUUAACUUUUAAUUUAAAAAAUUCAUUAAUUUAUGAUUUAUUGAUCCAUUAUUAUUGAUUAAAAAUUUAAGUUAGGGAUAACAGCGUAAUUUUUUUAGA